GGGGGAUAGCAACAGGGGCGUUUUCCUUAAAAAUAACUAAAAAACGAAGAAAAGUCCUAUCGCACAGGUCCCUCCCCACCCUCUCCUCCUUCUGUCCUCCAUCUCCUCUAGUCUAGGAGUUUCAAGUCAAAACACACGUUCAGAGUGAACGGUUACCCCACCGGUCUGUACGGCGUGGGGGUAUAAAUGGCCGACCCUUCUCUCUGAUCCAGCACAGUCAACCUUCCGACAUUGUUUAGAAUCGGUCAGUCAACUCAUUCGCUUCUGUCUCACCUCUAACUUGUUUGAUCAUCAACGGAAGCUAUUUACUUCGAUCAUCUCUAAAUUAUGAUUUACUAGUACAAAGCAUUCGUGUUAAUGAAGAACUUCCCUCUCUCAAGCUACGACUUGCUGCUGCUACUUAACGCCAAUUUAAAUAAAAACCUACAAUCCCUCCUGGGCAGCCGUCUGGGAAACUCAGGCAAUCAAAAAGAAUUAAGGGUUUUGACGUUGCUUCACUACGUUCCUUGAGUUUUGCCAAACACGAAAAUGGUGCAAGAAUCCGGAUCCAAAUCUCAGAUGAAUGUCAACACGGCCGUCUCACGCAAAGACACUGGAUACGUGAGCGAUCCAGCGGCUGGCAGGUCUUACAGCCAAAUUGGCGUUAAGCAGCACUACGACUCGUCGAAAAGUUAUUCGUCGGGUCAGAAGAUGGACUCCCAAAAGUACGGAGCAUGGGGCCCGGUCUACAAGAACAAAGACAAUUUCGCCAGCAUGCACCUCUUUUAAAAUUCCACACUGAAAAAGUGCAAACCCCUUUGUUUACUCAUAUUCGUAAUUUAAAAAACAUUGUAGUAUUCACACAACUUCACACAAAGCAGAAGUUUACAUCAUUUGGGGAAUUUUUAAUUUUCUUUGCAUUCUUUGAAAGGUUAAAUAAACAUAAAAGAAUUGUUUUAAUAA